rnacentral:rRNA from 1 species
UACGUAGGGUGCAAGCGUUGUCCGGAUUUAUUGGGCGUAAAGAGCUCGUAGGUGGCUUGUCACGUCGGGUGUGAAAGCUUGGGGCUUAACUCCAGGUCUGCAUUCGAUACGGGCUGGCUAGAGGUAGGUAGGGGAGAACGGAAUUCCUGGUGUAGCGGUGAAAUGCGCAGAUAUCAGGAGGAACACCGGUGGCGAAGGCGGUUCUCUGGGCCUUGCCUGACGCUGAGGCGCGAAAGCUAGGGGAGCGAACAGG